UACGGAGGGUGCAAGCGUUAUCCGGAUUCACUGGGUUUAAAGGGUGCGUAGGUGGGCAGGUAAGUCAGUGGUGAAAUCUCCGGGCUUAACCCGGAAACUGCCGUUGAUACUAUUUGUCUUGAAUAUUGUGGAGGUAAGCGGAAUAUGUCAUGAAGCGGUGAAAUGCUUAGAUAUGACAUAGAACACCAAUUGCGAAGGCAGCUUACUACACAAUGAUUGACACUGAGGCACGAAAGCGUGGGGAUCAAACAGG
rnacentral:rRNA from 1 species